CGGCAGGCCUAACACAUGCAAGUCGAGGGGUAACAGAGAGUGCUUGCACUCUGCUGACGACCGGCGCACGGGUGCGUAACGCGUAUGCAACCUACCUUCUACAGGGGGAUAGCCCAGAGAAAUUUGGAAUAAUACCCCAUACGAUCUUUACUUGGCAUCGAGUAGAGAAGAAAACUUCGGUGGUAGAAGAUGGGCAUGCGUCCUAUUAGUUAGUUGGUGAGGUAACGGCUCACCAAGACUCCGAUAGGUAGGGGCCCUGAGAGGGGGAUCCCCCACACUGGUACUGAGACACGGACCAGACUCCUACGGGAGGCAGCAGUGAGGAAUAUUGGACAAUGGGGGCAACCCUGAUCCAGCUAUGCCGCGUGCAGGAAGACUGCCCUAUGGGUUGUAAACUGCUUUUAUACAGGAAGAAACUGUGCUACGUGUAGCGCACUGACGGUACUGUAAGAAUAAGGAUCGG
rnacentral:rRNA from 1 species